rnacentral:rRNA from 1 species
GAUGAACGCUGGCGGCGUGCCUAAUACAUGCAAGUCGAGCGAAUGGAUUAAGAGCUUGCUCUUAUGAAGUUAGCGGCGGACGGGUGAGUAACACGUGGGUAACCUGCCCAUAAGACUGGGAUAACUCCGGGAAACCGGGGCUAAUACCGGAUAACCUUUUGUACCGCAUGGUUCGAAAUUGGAAGGCGGCUUCGGCUGUCACUUAUGGAUGGACCCGCGUCGCAUUAGCUAGUUGGUGAGGUAACGGCUCACCAAGGCAACGAUGCGUAGCCGACCUGAGAGGGUGAUCGGCCACACUGGGACUGAGACACGGCCCAGACUCCUACGGGAGGCAGCAGUAGGGAAUCUUCCGCAAUGGACGAAAGUCUGACGGAGCAACGCCGCGUGAGUGAUGAAGGCUUUCGGGUCGUAAAACUCUGUUGUUAGGGAAGAACAAGUGCUAGUUGAAUAAGCUGGCACCUUGACGGUACCUAACCAGAAAGCCACGGCUAACUACGUGCCAGCCGCCGCAGUAA